rnacentral:lncRNA from 1 species
AUGGAAACUCUGACAAGGACCCAGGAGUCUGUCAGUCUAGCCCAAGCAAUCGCCAGCUCAUUAAGCAUGAACCGCUUGCCGGUCCCUGAACCAACCACGUUCAGUGGUGACCCUUUACGGUUUACUGAUUGGAAGAUGUCAUUCAUAGCUCUUAUUGACAGAAAAACCCUCCCACCAAGUGAGAAGAUUUUUUAUCUCAAAAAUUAUCUUGCUGGAGAGGCACGCAAAGCUGUAGAAGGUUUCUUUUAUCGAGAUUCAGAGAACGCAUACAAUGGAGCAUGGGAAGUCUUACAGUACAGAUAUGGGAACCCGUUCAUCAUACAAAAGGCUUUCCAAGAUAAGCUCUUGAGAUGGCCAAAGAUCAACACAAACGACCCACUAGCACUACAAGAGUUCACUGACUUCCUCCAAGGCUGCACUGAGGCGAUCCCACACGUCAAGGGACUAGCUAUCCUUAACGAUUGUGAGGAAAACCACAAGUUGUUCAAAAAACUACCAGAAUGGAUCGUACGCAAGUGGAGUCGAAUUGUUGUAGAGGAACUUGACACAUCUGGAAGCUAUCCAGAUCUUGCAUGCUUCACAAAGUUCCUGAGCAAAGAGGCACGGAUAGCUUGUAACCCUAUUGCUUCUCCAUUGUUGAUAAAUUUCAAGGCCACAGAUGAAAGAUCACCAAAGAGAGCCAAAGUUCUCAACACAAAUACACAAACAAAGAGUUUCGCUCAGGAGAAACAAGAAACAAACGGCAGUAAACCAAAAUCACCUUGCUCCGGCUGUAAAAGUGAAGCUCAUAACAUCACCAAGUGUCCCACCUUCGCAGCAAAGAGUGGUGAAGACAAAAAGGCAUUCAUCCAUGAAAAUCGACUCUGCUUUGGGUGCCUGAGAAAGGGUCACAUAACCAAAGAUUGUAAGAGGCGACACACAUGCAACAUAAGCAGCCGUCGUCACCGAACCUGCUUGCACGAAGACAGAAAACAAAGACCUGUGGAAGCAACAACGAAUAGCUCCACUUCCACAGGAAAACAUGCAAGCUUGGAAACACACAAGGUCGUAUCCCAUACAUCAACACAACAUGCUUCUGCUACCUCAAGUAUCGUCCCAGUCCUUGUGUCUUCAAUACAAGAGCCACACAGAGAAGUACUUACAUAUGCAAUACUGGACACACAGAGUGACUCAACGUUGGUCUUAGAAGAUGUACUCGACAAACUGAAUGUUGAUGCCCAACCAGUAAAACUGAAACAUAGUGUGACGGCUAUUGACACAAUCAUAUCUAGCAAGAACGUCCAUGGUCUACAAGUUCGAGGACUGCACUCUAAGAACCACAUCCAAGUACAGCAGGCCUACAGCCGUGACUUUAUCCCAGUGGACAAGUCUUACCUCCCAACGAAGGAAACAGCAUUACUGUGGCCUCAUCUCAGACACUUGGUAGAUAACCUACCACCCCUUCAAGACUGUGAUGUAGGGCUCCUGGUUGGAUAUGACUGUCCAUCAGCACUAGCUCCUCUUGAGGUUAUCAUUGGUGACAAAAAUCAACCGUUUGCACAGAGACCAGAACUAGGAUGGGGUAUCAUAGGCUCAUCAAACCCCCACCUAGACAGACAAGGAAGUCAGAGCUUUGUGCAUCGGCUCACAGUAAAAGAAUUGCCAAUUCAAUCGGGGACAGAUGUUCUAAAAGCCCUAGAAUCAGACUUCACCGAGACCCAACCUACCAAACAACAAGAGGCUAGCCACAGUUCGCCUGCAGUGUCUUAA